UACAUUGCGUAAGUUCCCUGGGGGUGAC
rnacentral:sRNA from 1 species